rnacentral:rRNA from 1 species
UACGAAGGGGGGCUAGCGUUGUUCGGAUUUACUGGGCGUAAAGCGCACGUAGGCGGAUCGUUAAGUCGGGGGUGAAAUCCUGGAGCUCAACUCCAGAACUGCCUUCGAUACUGGCGAUCUUGAGUCCGGAAGAGGUGAGUGGAACUCCUAGUGUAGAGGUGGAAUUCGUAGAUAUUAGGAAGAACACCAGUGGGCGAAAGGCGGCUCACUGGUCCGGUACUGACGCUGAGGUGCGAAAGCGUGGGGGAGCAAACAGG